UGAGAAUGUCUCGGUGCCAUCUGAACAAGAUUUUUGCAAAAAUAACAAGACUGGUCUGUGACCCACGAGAACCUGCUCCAUUUAACAGGAUGUGCGCGUCUGUGAGGGAAUGCAUGCAUAUAAUCAAGAAUCCGUGAGUACAUAUGAGCUGUAAAAUCUAAAAUAAUAUGAUGUCAGUCCCUCUGCUGGGGCUCCCUGGGGGGUUCUUUGAGUUUGAACCAUUCCCCUAAGGUCACACCACCCAGAGCUCAGAGGUGAGAGCCGGACGGAGCAGCCCAGCCCAAACACAUUCUGGGACACAGGGGGAAGUGAGGAAGAGGUGGGGGGAAACUUACCAGGACAAACUGAACUGGGGUAGAAACAGCUUAGAAAACAGCGAAGGAAACCGAGACGCGUGAGAGUGAAGGUUUUAGUAGGGGAAACAAAAAAAAAAAAAAAAAAAAAAAAAAAAAAGAAAAAA